rnacentral:lncRNA from 1 species
AUGGGAGCACGAGGCCUUGGGUUCCGUAGUGUGGGUACAGUGUACUAACCUCUACAGAGUGUGUAUAGUCUAUCGAUAGACGCGCCCGCGUGUAUGGGCCCUGUUCGUAGUAGGACACACUAUGAGUCAAAGUAAUAAUAACAUGCUUAAUAAACAACCCUGGUGCGAUUAUGAAAUAAGUUUAUUGAUCUUUAUGUGGUCGUGGGAGGGUCAGGAUGGUAUUCUUGAUAAUGAUAAGGUGAUCUUGUGAGGAUCACGAUGGUAUUCUUAAUUAUUUAUUGAUAUGAUCCCGUGAUGACCACGAUGGUAAGUAAGAGUGGCAUAUCUUUGGUGGUUACAAGUUAACCUCCGAACAGAGUAAGUUGCGACAUGAUAUUGUAAACAUGCUACAUGCUAGCAGCAUCUUUGUUCAUGCCUUGAGUAAUAUGUUCAUUCCAUCUGACGCUGUUCUAGCGGUAUUUUGUUCACCAUGUAUAUGCCAUGUUGCUCUAGUUGUAUAAUGUUCAUCAAUGCUUAAACAUGUAAAUGUCAUGCUAUUGUUUGUCUUGAUUGCUUUGGUUGUUGUGAGCUUGUGAGAACAUUCAAAGUUCUCACCUGGCGUGUCAUGCUAGUUUGGAGGUCAUGCCAUGAUUGAUUGUUGGUCGAGUUUGCAUGCUAGGAUAAGCGUUGGAGUCAGUCCCUCCGGAGUGGAGUCCAUCGCCUUCGUAGUUGUUCUGCUGCUUAGUUUUUUUCUGCUGCUAGUAUUGAGCUACCUAAGCACGCAUAGUGUCACCGUGCAAAUGUAAUUCGUUGUGAUAUGAGAACCUUUGUAAUCUGUAUCAUUUGUAAUAAAGAGCUGAUUUUUCU